UUUUCAGAUGGAUUUAAUGCAUUUUGAACACACUGGUAAUCUGUCCGGAUAGGAAUGCAACCAAAACCACGCGUAACAAAGGGCGCCUGUGCAGCAGGGUGCUCUUGGAAACGUGAAAACGUGUGGUUUAGGGAUUAUUUCAGGGAGGGGAGGUGCAAGAUGUGAGCCAUGUAUGGGAGUUUUGUUUAUUGCUGUGACAGGAGAGAGGCAUUACUGAACUUCCAGAAUAAUCCCUUUCCUUUGCCUCCACCCUGGGCUGGAAAAAUGACCUUUAUAGCAAGAUUAUGGCUGACCUUUGUACCGUGACUGUCAAAACAGAUGCUAUCUGCUUGACAGUUGUAGGCGUAUUUUCAUGUGCUUAUCUGCCAGGUAUGUGAUAGAAUGAGAAAAGGCAUGAUUUCACUAAUUACACCAGGUUUUGGUAAUUAUGAUGAAACAGCAAUGAUAUCCCAUUAAUGACCCUCCUGGUCUAUUGCCAGGGAGAUGCGUUGCACAGAGCGUAGAUGAAGGUCUUGCUCCUAAUACGGUCUCAGCGGCUCCUCGGUUCCAGCCAUCUCAGGUUGAUAUCAAAGCUGCAACAGCUGAGACGGUUCCAUUAGAAAAUGAAGAUGGGAUGCACAGACUAAUUUGUCCUACUGAGAUCCCUAUUAGUACAGCAGCUCGUCCUUCUUUUACCCUUUAAUUAAUCCCUGUUUUUCAUUCUCCCGGUAACACGACUUCUUAUUACUCAUAAAAAUCCUUAUUACUAAUAAAAUCUCAGGUUUUACCACUUCUUCACAGUGUGGGUGAUGUGAUAAUCUUUCUCCCACUGACAAGGUUUUGUGAGGCUGAAUGUUUCCAGCAUUAUUCACUGUCCGAGAGUAUGUCAAAAAUGGGUUUUGCAGGUGAUGUUGAUUAGCUGUCAGCUUUUGAAAGGGGCAGUAAGUGCUAGCUGUUGUGAGAUGGACUGGCUGUGUUAUUUGACUAUGCUUCUCAUUUUGGAAAUUGACUAAUUAUAAGCCCAGGAUUUAAAACCUAAAUUCAGCCUGAAUGCCCUCUGGAGUUUGAGGCUAGUUUGAAGAUGUUUUAAUUGCACACCCAUUUAUUAAUAGAAGCUUACGGUGAGGUACAAAGAAGAAAACUUUAGUUUUUUUACUUCUGCACAUGUUGUCCUUAAAAAUGACCAAGGCACCUUAAUUCUGCUGAAGAUCCAAGACUUGGUGCACAGGAAUCUCUCUUUGGCUGGUUAGUAUGGAAACGCUCUCUUCGUUUCUGCUCAUGACAUUGCAAGAGGCAUGAAGUCCUCUACAUGCCAGGCAGUGUCCUUCUGUUCACAGACCUCAUUGACAGGAAGCAUUUAUUUCUGACCAGUUUCAGGACUGACUUUUGGGGGAGAAGAACGGUCUUUAAUGAUGACCUUAAAGACUUAAUGUUCCUUACACAGGCCUCCUGUGUGCCCCAGUGGCGAAAUCCUGCUCUCGGGAGGAAGUACACCAUAAAGUAAUUGCAGCGAGUAGCAUGGAGCUGUGGGACUGCCCUUGUUUAUUGUGUGGGCUCUUGCACAGCGCAGCAUUCAGGGCUGAGUGGUUCUUUUAGCCGUCGAAAUAGCAGCUUGUUCUCCCUACACCUGCGGUGUUGCGGGUAUUUCCGCACCUCGUUACCUCUCCCCGCCGAGCAGUGUUUUCAUAAUGAGGAGGAUACAGAUGGCACAGUGUGCUCCAGGGAAACAGCUUGCCAUGGAGCCCAAACCCACGGGCAUGGCCCUGCCCUGGAAGGGCUGGCACCUCGCCGGGGUGACUGGCGGCAUGGCUUGCAUGUCCCUGUGGGUGUGUGGAAAAUGCAGCUCAACAUGGGAGGUGUUCAGAGCCGGCUGCCAGAGUCCUGCGCCUGUCAGCGGGCGGGUGUCAUUCUCACUGGCUGCUUUCAGUGAGUUUCUCUUUGGAUGUCCUUACAGGUGCUUAGGGGAGAACAAAAGCCCAGUACUGAAACUGCCUUUUUCAGUGUGUUACAGCUUUGUCAUCUGUCUGGUCUUCUAAGAGUGUCUCCAGGAAGCUGAAUGGCAUGGCAUGCGGCAUCCCUCGCUUUCACCAGGAUGCUGUUUCCAUAGCCCAGUGGAUCACAAAGCUUAACUUCUGAUAGUUCAGUUUUGCUUGUGUAGGGCUUAGAUGCACAGCUGCAAAUUAUGUGGUCUUAUUUAAAGAUAAAUUAACAUGUAAAAAUAAUUUAGGGGGGGGGUUUAUUAUUUAUUUAAAGAGAAGGAAAAAACCCAGAAGAUCAGAUGACAGCCCUGAGGAAAAUAUGAAGAAGCUAAGUUUCUUUGCCUGAAAACUAUUAUCAUGUUGAAAAAACUGCAGCCACAGGGCAGAGUUCAGAUGGACUGAGUGAUAUCACAGGCUGUGCAGUAACAUAUGUAUAGCUUCAUCAGUUUAAUUGCAAAGCAAUGUAGAAUAAAAAGUUUAUUAAAAAAAACCCUAAACCAUGCAUUCAUCUCAUCGCAUGCUUAUUCUUUAUUAUUGCCUUGAACAUAAAGACCAAAACAUCUUUAAGGAUGUUGAUGUUCAAAGCAGUUCUGGGUAGCUUAUCACAGUGACAACUUGCACAGAUGACAGUGCAGCAGGCAGCAGAGCCCUGAUUUCAGGGAAUUAGCGUGGCUUGGUCUGGGUUGAAUUACUCAAGACUGUUUCUGAUGUUUCAUCCAGUGAUUCAGAAGUCUUGGGUUUACAGAUGUGAUUUAUUUUGUGAAACACAGUGCCUAACUCAUUGCACCUUGACAGUAAAAAGUGAUUGUUUUCUAGUUGCUCAUUGUGUGCUUAGUAUUUCUUGGCUUAUUUUCUAUCACUUUUUUUGCUUUCUAUUUCUUUUCUUCAAAGAUCACGGAAAGGUCAGCAGAUUAACUAUCUCAAUACACUGUUACUUCAACUUCUGUUGUUUCCUUUAGCUCUCUCCCCUUCUCCCUAUUUCUUUUGAAGUCCUUUGGUAUUAAAAAGUUACCUUUCCAGUCUGUUGCCCGCACCUUGCUGUUUCAUUCACUUGUGCUGUUUUACAGGGCUGCCGGUGUGCCAGACCCAUGUUUAUUAACCAUACUCUGCUCUGUAAGAGCAGGGAUAUUCAAUUUGGGGAUUUUCAGGGAAGAAAAGUCAGAAAAAGUUGCAGGCUCCUAAACAUGAAUGCCUCUUUCUUUCCGUGGUUCAGGCAGGCUGACUGCUCCAGGGGAUGGAGAAUGAAAUAAUCAGCUUGGUGUGGUCCAGCCCCAGAAGCUGCAAGCUGGGGACCUUGGUGGACUUUCUCCAAGUGCAGAAAGGCUUGUCUGGUGUCCCCUGGUAGUGCCGUGGCAGCAGGAGCAGCAGGGUGUGUUCUCCAGGAGGCUGCAUGGACAGAGCAUCUUCCAGGGCUGCAGAAGGGCAUGCAAGUGGAAAACUGGAAGGGUUUUUCUCCUGGGGUGGGUGGUUGCUGCCUGAACACCCCUUGCCUCCAAGGGGAGAGGCAGGUAGGUCAGGCCUGAUCCCUGCGGAUGUGCUUGGAGGUUAAUCUUUUGCUUUCCCAACAGGACUAGUGGCUCUUCAGGAUAUCUCUUCAUCUCCCAGCGGCCUCGUUUGGAGGAGCGCAGCUGAGCACUGCUGCUGCUGGUGGCAGUCAGCAUGGUGGUGCCAUCUGGGGUGGUGGCCAGGGCACCUAAACCUGACUGUAAUUUCUCCAGCUCUUGAUUUGAAGCGCUUUGAGUCAGCACGUUGUUUCCUGUCCUGCUGCUGGACUCCUGGAUAAAUACAGACUCCAGCCUUGUCAGGUUUUCAGGUUGCACUGAUUAAGUCUUGGCCAACUACAAAUCCAUGCCAAAACCCAUAACUCAGGCAUAGGUUUCCAUCCAUGCUCUCCUUGGGUAGCCCCUACAAGUGGUUUUAGGCAAGACAGUGAAUGGUUUUGAAGACCCCAUGCUACCAAGACAUGUGCACUGCAGCUGCAGCUUAGAUUUAGGCCAUGAGGAUUUUGUUUUUCUAAAGGCUUCAAGAAAGUACUUUCAAGAGAAGUACUGGCAUACUUGCUUUUUUUUUUUUUUUUUUUUUUUUGCUGGGCUGAUGUUGAUCCUGGAGGGUGUCUUUAAAUAGCCUUUAAAAAUGAAAAGCCCUUGCCUAUGUGAAACCAGGUGUUUUAGAUAAACUUGCAGCUGUACGCACCCACAAAAGAUAAGCAGUGUGCACGGCCUGUAUUAAUGCUCCCAAUGGUAUGCUCCUGCCUUGAACUUGUACUUUGGUCACAGUGCUCAUACACUUUGGUAUCUUAAAAGUCCAUUAAGAGAAAUGCCGUGUAAUUCAGGUUGCUGUUUAUUAAUUUACUAUUAUUGUGAGCAGGCUGGCUAAUGAUUAUCUCUGAUCUGGCUCUGAAUCACAGCUGUAGGAAGUGAGAAAUAGUUCCCUAAUGGUCUCGCAGCUUAAUAAUUUCUAAGUGAAAAUUUACUUGGAGUGUAUCAUUAACAACAGGAGGGAUGCAAAAAAAAGCUUGGUCAAGGCAUUUGGUGUGGAUGUGCGUCACGAAAUGGGACGCUGGGAAUUUAGGAUCUUGCCUGUAGGGCUGGUAGCUCAUUGCUAGCACUGCCUCCCGUCCCUCGCAGAGCUGUCCUUUUUCAUUUACUUGCAGCUUGGCUCGGUUACAAGCGUAUGUGUCGAAAGUUUUAUCUACUGAGUGGGUACCAAAAUGUGUUGGCCUGUUUGGAGAGCAGAGCUUGAGAAAGGAGCCGGUUUACGUAAUUUUGUUUUUUUCAAUGUGGCUUCUCUUUAGAUGCAGCACUGUAGUUUGUUGAGAUGAGCUUUUUUGUGCAUCUUUGGAAAACCACCAUUUGUACCUACAUUUCCAAGACUUUCUGACCUUGAGGUCUCUGCGGCCUCUGGCAGAACAAAACGUUUUCUUUGAUAUCAAACCGUUUUUCAGCUCUCCAUUGUGGUGCAAAAAUAUGUGUCGGGCGGGAGGUCAUUUUUUAGGCCUGCCCAGCCUUUCUGAUGGGAAGAUCAUUUGUUUGUGUUGCCAGUGGCUGUGGGAAGAGGGAAAAAACCCUUCAUUUUAGAGGAGGUGACUACUGCUGCAGGGUGCUGAGUUGCGUGCUUGCGUCUGCCAGGGACCCUGGGCAUGAUGCUGGACGAGUCACCUCAACCAUGGCUGGGGCAACUCACUGCAUCUGCCCCCAUCUUUGCAAAACUGGUCUGAGGCCAUGAGGAUGGAUGUGAGGAGCAUCAAGCUCUUGGAGGUGCCGCCUGAAGUCCAGUGGAGCUGCUCUUCAAACGCGUCAUUUUUAUAAGGCUUAAAUAUUGUGGGAGCUCAAGUCUUCAUCUGCUGUUUGCCUUGCUCUCUGCUACUCUUCUGUGGCUGUAAAAUCGGGGAUGAUGCCACCCUCUCAGAGAAAUACUGGGAGUUUGCAUGAACUUUUGAGGGACCAAGUAAUAAUAAUCCCCAAGGAAAAUGUGUAACUGUCCUUCAACCAGCCUUUGAGUAGUGUGUAAUGAUUAAGACCUGUGCUUACACCUGGUUUGGGGAAGGGUGAGGGAAAUGCUGAAUAGUCACUUGUUCAAGAAGAGUACAACAUUCUUGGUGCUGACUUAGGCAAGGGUCUAGGUAGCCCCAUGUGCACUCAUGUAAUUAAAAGCCUGUCCUGCAGCUUAUAGGGUCAGAUGCGCAGGUAGAUGGGGCAGGAAACCUUCAUCCUGGCAUCUCUGAACUUGAGUCCUCAACUUAGACUUUUCUCAUGCAGCUUGUUGUGUAGGGUGGCAUGUUCAACGGUAUGACUGAAAACAACCCUGCCUUCAGCCAACAGAAUUAGCGAGGGGACUGAGGAGGUACUGAGUGAGGGGAAGGUCUGUUUGCCCCCCUCUGUAAUUUCCAGCAGCAGCCGAGAGUGGGGGCUAGGGAAGAGUCUAUGGCUGGGAUGCCACAGGGCAUUGUCCGAGCUUCCAUUUAUUUACAACUUGAGAUACCAGAGGCUGUGCCUUUCUUCCUGAUAGUCCCUGAUAAACUUUCCUUCCAUGAAUUCAUCUUAAUGAUUUUUUCCAGCCAAGUGAACUUUUGGCCUGCUCAGCAGAGUUCCCCUGUUUAACCGUGUCCUCUGUGGUGGUUCUGGCCGAGUUUCCCCCACAGUCCUUCCUGCUGCUGCUUUUGCACUUUGCAAACCUUAAAAAAAAUCGCUGAGGUGGAGAGACAUCUCCUGUCGCCUGCUGGCAACCAUUGACCAUUGCAAAGUCAAGUGCAUGGGGUUCAAGACGCCAGGUUCAAGACUGCGUGUCCAUCCUGGAUACCAAGUGAGGCACGGAGAGGCUGUGAUGCUAAACCCCCACCAGCCUGGGCUUGUGUCCAGCUUUAUUCUUUCAGCAGGCUGCCACGAUGUCCUGUAGAGGAGAAGUGAUACAAGAGGAUUAGUUCUUUUACAGAAA